rnacentral:pre_miRNA from 1 species
AUAAUACUCCCUCCGUCCGGAAUUACUUGUCAUCAAAAUGGAUGUGUCUAGAACUAAAAUAUAUCUAGAUACAUCCAUUUCAAUGACAAGUAUUUUCGGAUGGAGGGAGUAGUAG